ACGCCGGCGGUGUGCCUAAUACAUGCAAGUCGAGCGCACUGGCCCAACAGAAAUGACGUGCUUGCACUGAUUUGACGUUGGAUUCCCAGUGAGCGGCGGACGGGUGAGUAACACAUGGGCAACCUGCCCCAAAGCGGGGGAUAACAUUUGGAAACAGGUGCUAAUACCGCAUAACUUGGAAAACCACAUGGUUUUCCAAUAAAAGAUGGUUUCGGCUAUCACUUUGGGAUGGGCCCGCGGUGCAUUAGCUAGUUGGUAAGGUAACGGCUUACCAAGGCGAUGAUGCAUAGCCGAGUUGAGAGACUGAUCGGCCACAAUGGAACUGAGACACGGUCCAUACUCCUACGGGAGGCAGCAGUAGGGAAUCUUCCACAAUGGGCGCAAGCCUGAUGGAGCAACACCGCGUGAGUGAAGAAGGGUUUCGGCUCGUAAAACUCUGUUGUUGGAGAAGAACGUGCGUAAGAGUAACUGUUUACGCAGUGACGGUAUCCAACCAGAAAGUCACGGCUAACUACGUGCCAGCAGCCGCGGUAAUACGUAGGUGGCAAGCGUUAUCCGGAUUUAUUGGGCGUAAAGCGAGCGCAGGCGGUCGCUUAGGUCUGAUGUGAAAGCCUUCGGCUUAACCGAAGAAGUGCAUCGGAAACCGGGCGACUUGAGUGCAGAAGAGGACAGUGGAACUCCAUGUGUAGCGGUGGAAUGCGUAGAUAUAUGGAAGAACACCAGUGGCGAAGGCGGCUGUCUGGUCUGCAACUGACGCUGAGGCUCGAAAGCAUGGGUAGCGAACAGGAUUAGAUACCCUGGUAGUCCAUGCCGUAAACGAUGAGUGCUAGGUGUUGGGGGGUUUCCGCCCUUCAGUGCCGAAGCUAACGCAUUAAGCACUCCGCCUGGGGAGUACGACCGCAAGGUUGAAACUCAAAGGAAUUGACGG
rnacentral:rRNA from 1 species